rnacentral:rRNA from 1 species
UACGUAGGGUCCGAGCGUUGUCCGGAAUUAUUGGGCGUAAAGGGCUCGUAGGCGGUCUGUCGCGUCGGGAGUGAAAACUUACAGCUUAACUGUGAGCGUGCUUCCGAUACGGGCAGACUUGAGGUAUUCAGGGGAGAACGGAAUUCCUGGUGUAGCGGUGAAAUGCGCAGAUAUCAGGAGGAACACCGGUGGCGAAGGCGGCGACCUGGGUCGAUACUGACGCUGAUGCGCGAAAGCGUGGGGAGCAAACAGG